rnacentral:rRNA from 1 species
AUUGAACGCUGGCGGCAGGCCUAACACAUGCAAGUCGAGCGAGCGGCGGACGGGUGAGUAAUGUAUGGGGACUGCCCGAUAGAGGGGGAUAACUACUGGAAACGGUAGCUAAUACCGCAUACUAUCGGAUAACCCAUAUGGGAUUAACUAGUAGGUGAGGUAAUGGCUCACCUAGGCGACGAUCCCUAGCUCGUCUGAGAGGAUGAUCAGCCAUAACAGGACUAAGGCACGGCCCAGACUCCUAAGGAGGCAGCAGUGGGGCACAUUCAGCAUUGGGAGCAAGCCUGACGCAGCCAUGCCGCGUGUAUGAAUAAGGCCCCAGGGUUUUAAUGUACGUUCAGUCGGGAGGCUUUAUCGACAUAAGAAGCACCGGCUAACUCCGUGCCAGCAGCCGCGGUAAUAC